AAGCACAAAGGGGAGCCUAGGCUCCCCUCUAAUUGGGUGUGUGCUUUAUUUUUAUUAUUUAGCGACUGUUAUUGUUGUUUUAUCGCUGUUUGUUGCGUCAUCGCUUUCGGUGAUUCCAAGUGGAACCAAGGGCAAACGUAUUUUUUUGGUUACUGAUACAGCAAUCGCCAUUGCCAAAACCCCUGCAAUGAUCCAACCGGCACACCGAGCUACCUCAAGGUAGUU
rnacentral:misc_RNA from 1 species